GCGAUCGCUGCGUCGCGCCGUCCCCUGCAUGAGGAUGAGGCCACUCGGGGCCACCAGUCCUUCCCCCGAUCGCGGCCUCAGAGUUUGCUGGGGAAGGUGCCAAGGUCUGCUGGGUGAAGGUCCGGCCAGAAGGAUUUCCCCUGAGGCUGGUUGUCAAGGGGCAGAGAGUGGCAUCAGAGCCACAGGCCAGAGCCAGUAGUGUUUCAGAGAUGAGCCUCUCCUGGACUUGGAAUGUGGAGUUUGUUUUGCGAGGAAGGGCUGAAUCAAAUGCCAUUGUGCCUUCACACCCCAUGUCCUUCAUCAAUUCGUGGCUGAUUGGCAUCUGGACUGCUUUUAUAUCUCAAUUGUUGUGGAUAGAACAGCAAUAAACAUGGAUGUGCCCGUGCUUCUGUGGAUCCAGCAUCCUGGAUUCCUUUGGUAUCCAGCAUCGAGAUACCUGGACCAUACGGUAGUUCUAUCUUUAGAUGUCAGAGGAAACUGGAGUGAUCUCCACAGUGGCUGCGUCCAUUCACGGUCCCAUCAGCGGUGAGCAGCAUCCCUUACUCUGCCGCCCAUGCUCACUGGCAUCUUUUGUCAGCCAUCUUCUUGGCGAUGGCCAUCCUGACUGGGGUGAGAUGGAAUCUCGAAGCAGCUUUAAUUUGCAUUUUCCCGGUGGAUGUUUAACUUCUAUCCCUUUCAAAUAUUUACGACCAUUCGUAUUUAA